GUGACACAGAGGGAGGUGACAGAGGGAGUUUAAAAGGAUCGGUCAGUUUAUGGCAAAUAACUCUGUUAGUUGAAGUUCUCAGUGACACAGAUUCCGGACUCACAGCGGGAAUAAUGAUGUUCUGCAGAGUGGCUUGGCAAAGACUUGCACCUCUGGCACGCAAAACACUCACUCCGUUCAGCAAUGCUGUGUUCCCUACGCGACAGAUGUCCUUUGGUCUACCUGCGUCCGGCACAAACAUAGCUUAAAUGGUACUUGGUGGAAGCUCGCUUACUGCUGCUCUUGUUUAUGCCUAUAAGACAAUAAACUCUGACAGUGCAAGAUAUAAUGAAAGAAUUGCUCAACUCGAGGCCAG
rnacentral:lncRNA from 1 species